rnacentral:lncRNA from 1 species
UGUAAAAUAAGUUAGAUUUAUGGUGUAAAGAGAGUCAUAAAACUUAUAUUUUUAGAAUUAUGAUGAAAUUUGAUCACCAUAAUGACAUAAAUUUAACAAAACACAAGCACGUUCAUAAAACAUUUUUUUCAUAUUCUCACUUCUACCUGGUAUUCCCAUUUGAAGACUGAUAUGAUACAUAAUACUAUCAAGUGACCACAAAAGUAGUAGAAAACAUAACUGUUUUUCUAGUCAGAAAUGGAGAAAUAGAUACUAAAGGAAAAAUAGCAACUACAAAUCAAAGAAAGACCGACCAAGAUAGUCAAAAGAAAAAGAGAAACACAAA